UGUGGAAGGCAGGAGAGUGACUGAUUGUGGAUGCGGGGCAGGUGUGGAAGAUCGAGCUGGCAGAGCAAGGCUGGACAUCAGCAGCAGUGGUACCCCAGGCCUGAUGGGGGCGCUGCUGAAAGCACGAGUCCUGUGCCUGCAGCAGCUGGUGGACGCAGUGGGGCCGACGCUGAGUGACGCCCCGGCCCUGGGCUCUCUGCUGGGGCUGCACUCCGUCCGGAUGGCGAGGAGGCUCGUGGAGCUGUGGAACCAGAGGCUGACUGAGGAGGAAAGGAGCCUCCUCACAGACUACAGCCAGAAAG
ensembl:lncRNA